GACGAACGCUGGCGGCGUGCUUAACACAUGCAAGUCGAACGGAAAGGCCCUGCUUUUGUGGGGUGCUCGAGUGGCGAACGGGUGAGUAACACGGGAGUAACCUGCCCUUGACUUUGGGAUAACUUCAGGAAACUGGGGCUAAUACCGGAUAGGAGCUCCUGCUGCAUGGUGGGGGUUGGAAAGUUUCGGCGGUUGGGGAUGGACUCGCGGCUUAUCAGCUUGUUGGUGGGGUAGUGGCUUACCAAGGCUUUGACGGGUAGCCGGCCUGAGAGGGUGACCGGCCACAUUGGGACUGAGAUACGGCCCAGACUCCUACGGGAGGCAGCAGUGGGGAAUAUUGCACAAUGGGCGGAAGCCUGAUGCAGAAACGCCGCGUGCGGGAUGACGGCCUUCGGGCUGUAAACCGCUUUCGCCUGUGACGAAGCGUGAGUGACGGUAAUGGGUAAAGAAGCACCGGCUAACUACGUG
rnacentral:rRNA from 1 species